CGGCAGCUGUGAGUGACGCACGCUGGCCCUCCGGCUUUCGGUGCCGUGACUGACUGACAGAUCCCGCUCGCCAAUUACGACACAGACACGGCCCUUUGGCCUCCAGGAGAGGCGGAGCUUAGAGCCCUUCCGUUAGCAGGAGAAGCUCCGAAGCUAAGCGGUGCUGGUAAGGGACAGUACGUGGAUGGGAGAACUGUCAAUCAAGUGUGCUGCGGGCUUGUCUACACAGGAAACUUCUGGUGCACUUAUCACCAUGAAUCCAUGUGUCAGACACUUGGGCCCAUGACUUGGAACACCUCUAUUAGAAUUCACCUCCUGGUCUCUGUCUUCCCAGGAUCCACUAGCAGCAGCAGCAGAUGUUGGCCAAAUUCCAUUGUGGGUAGUUCUGAAGCCUACUGUAACUGAACCACCCUCCUGAAUUUCAACUGGAUAUGGCAUUCACCACUUCCGACCUUAGGCUGUCAUGUAGCAUUGCUGUAUGCAACAGUUACUUAGGUUUUGCCUCAGAGAUGUGGCUUUCAGGGGAACCCCCUACAGAUCAACGGAGCUCCUCUACCAGAUUAGAAAGCGUCCAAGAUGGAGGAAGCAGAACAUGUUCCAGGAGGUCCUGCAGUACUCUGAUGCAGAAAAAAGGGAACACAUGGGGUGGAGAGAAAUUGAAAGGCAGAACAGAAGAGAAAAUCAGGACUUUGUUAAGAACGCCACUGAGUGGAUGAUAAAAGUAAUGGAGUAGCAAACAGAGAUGCUUAAGUCACUCACAACGCUGCAGUCAGAACAGAUAUGUGCCUACCAUCCCCAGCAGCACAUUCAGAACCGUUUUUCAUACCCCACCCCCCAAACUCCAUCCGCACAUUCCCUUAUGCUUUCCAGAACUUCUCGGUUUCCCAUUCACUCCACCACCUCUGACAAUUUUCAAAAUGAUAGCUGGACCUACACACAGCUCUGAUGCUCUGCCCUUCCCUGGUCCCUUCUUUUCCCACCAAGCAUUUGUGUGUGUGUUGAUUGUUUAAUAAAAAC